AAAUAAUGCACCAAUAUAUCCACAUACUUGCUUUGACACGAUUCCUAAUUGACAUCGUCUUGUGUUUUAAUAAUCUGAUUAAAAGUAGUUC